UCGCGCAAACUUUGCAAUACACGAAAGUGUGACAGGGCUAUCCCGAGUGCCGUCCGCUGAGGGUGGCUUUUACCCAGUCUAGAAAGCUGGGAGAAUAAGGAGAGGGCAAGUCUGGUGUCAGCCGCCGCGGUAAUACCAGCUCUCCGAGUGGUGUGGAUGUUUAUUGGGCCUAAAGCAUCCGUAGCUUGCUGAUCAAGUCCCCUGUUAAACCCAACGAAUCAAUCGUUGGAUUGCGGGGGAUACUGUUCGGCUAGGGGACGGGAGAGGCCGACGGUAUUUUCGGGGUAGGGGUGAAAUCCUAUAAUCCCGAGAGGACCACCAGUGGCGAAGGCUGUCGGCUAGAACGCGCCCAACGGUGAGGGAUGAAAGCUGGGGGAGCGAACCGGAUUAGAUACCCGGGUAGUCCCAGCUGUAAACGAUGCAGGCUAGGUGUUUGGGCGGCCACGCGCCGCUCUAGUGCCGCAGGGAAGCUGUUAAGCCUGCCGCCUGGGGAGUACGGCCGCAAGGCUGAAACUUAAAGGAAUUGGGCGGGGGACG
rnacentral:rRNA from 1 species